rnacentral:rRNA from 1 species
UACGGAGGGGGGCUAGCGUUGUUCGGAAUUACUGGGCGUAAAGCGCGCGUAGGCGGACCUGCAAGUCGGGGGUGAAAGCCCGAGGCUCAACCUCGGAACUGCCUUCGAUACUGCGGGUCUCGAGUCCGGGAGAGGUGAGUGGAAUUCCUAGUGUAGAGGUGAAAUGCGUAGAUAUUGGGAGGAACACCAGUGGCGAAGGCGGCUCACUGGCCCGGUACUGACGCUGAGGUGCGAAAGCGUGGGGAGCAAACAGG